rnacentral:ncRNA from 1 species
UUAAUAACGAUGAAUGAGAGUAUACGUAACCCAGACCCUCAGGGAACCUAGGCCAUAGACUGAAAGCCUUGGUGCUUACUGGAACGGAAAUUCACUCAGGAGUUGCGUUCUUGAACGUGUAGUAGGGAACGCCGGAUACCCCCGUUAUCAGGUAUUCCUAAUUAGUCAGGAGAUUCAAGUGGUCGGUUCAUUAUAUUGAACUGGCAAUGAGGGUGGUACCACGAGGCUUAGCUCGUCCCUUUA